UGCGUAGCCGACCUGAGAGGGUGAUCGGCCACCACUGGGCACUGAGCACCACGGCCCAGAACUCCUACGGGAGGCAGCAGUAGGGAAUCUUCC
rnacentral:rRNA from 1 species